UGCAUUGCAGACAGAACCUAUGUCAGUAGCAGUGGUUAGAAAGACUAACACACAGCCUCCAUCUUUUGCAGAAGAACAGGCAAAGGAUUCGUCCAUUGCGGCUUCUCGGGUUGAUCCAAAACCUCCAUUUGUUCAUGAGAACGGGGUUUUGUGUCAUGACCAAAACGGAGAACUGUGUCCGGUCAUGCCAGAACAUCUAAAAGUGUUAUUUACUCAAUAUAAUCAUGAAAGUUUAGGUCACAUUGGACAGCAGAAAUUGUUAG